rnacentral:rRNA from 1 species
AAGAGUACGUGAAACCGUUCAGGGGUAAACCUGUGAAACCCAAAAGAUCGAAUGAGGAGAUUCAUCGUCAGCGUAUUCAGUAUUAAUGCAGGCUAUGAUGUGAUAAUAGAAUCCUUGUGGUCACUAGAUUAUACUUGCUUGUAUUAUUUUUGCUGGGUAUGUCGGCGUGCACUUCUCCUCUAGUAGAACGUCGCAACCCGUUGGAUGUUUAUCUAUGGCCUGAAUGGUUGCCUUUGAUAUAUUAUUAUAUUGGAAACCUUUGGUGUCCUGAUGAAGUGUCGGACGGUAUUCAUAAAGUAUUGAGCCGCAAUUAUUUGCGUUAGACUUGUUGCAAGUAAGGCUUUAUUCUACUAGUGCGGAUCUAAUGCCGUCGCUGGACAAAGUCUGCUGUUAGUUAAUAAUGUCUUUAACUGGCUUAUUUACUGGUUGGCGAUGCUACUGCUUUGGGUAC